rnacentral:rRNA from 1 species
CAGUCGCCGCGGUAAUACGUAGGUGGCAAGCGUUGUCCGGAAUUAUUGGGCGUAAAGGGCUCGCAGGCGGUUUCUUAAGUCCGAUGUGAAAGCCCCCGGCUCAACCGGGGAGGGUCAUUGGAAACUGGGAAACUUGAGUGCAGAAGAGGAGAGUGGAAUUCCACGUGUAGCGGUGAAAUGCGUUGAGAUGUGGAGGAACACCAGUGGCGAAGGCGACUCUCUGGUCUGUAACUGACGCUGAGGAGCGAAAGCGUGGGGAGCGAACAGGAUUAGAUACCCCAGUAGUCCCUGUCUCUUAUAU